GAAAUUCAGCUUCAACUUCCACUCCUUCUACAAAUCCACUUACAGCUCCAGAAUCAUCGAACUUGACCACCAAUUCAACAAUUCUCAAUGCAACUGCUCAAAGUUACAGGGGAGCAACAAAUUUGGACAGCAAUUUGUUCACAACACUCAAAAUCACAGAAACUCCAACUAAGAAACAACGCACUGACCCGACUGACAUGGAGCUGUAGAUAUAGUAUAUGCAUCUAUGCUUUUGACCAACCUUUUGAACAUCUGAUGAACUGCCAUCUCCAUCAGUGUACAUAGGCUAUCGUUUGUGGGUUGCUAAAAGGUCUACACCAAGGCAUUAGUCUACCCUACUCCAAACUAUCUGCAUCAAAGCUUUUGACCAACCUUUUGAACAUCUGAUGAACUGCCAUCUCCAUCAAUGUACAUAGGCUAUCGUUUGUGCCUUGCUAAAAGGUCUACGCCAGGGAAUUAGUCUACCCUACUCUAAACCACAGCUCCAAUUAUGUUUUUGAACAUUUUGUAUAGCAUCAUCAGAUAUGUAGCUGUGCUUUUGAAGUGCUGAAAAUGAAAUCAGAUGUCUAACUAUGAUUUUGAAAUACCAUGUAAUUGAUGAAUACUAUUUCACGUUACUGU
rnacentral:lncRNA from 1 species